GAUGAACGCUGGCGGCGUGCCUAAUACAUGCAAGUCGAGCGAACAGAUAAGGAGCUUGCUCCUUUGACGUUAGCGGCGGACGGGUGAGUAACACGUGGGUAACCUACCUAUAAGACUGGAAUAACUCCGGGAAACCGGGGCUAAUGCCGGAUAACAUUUAGAACCGCAUGGUUCUAAAGUGAAAGAUGGUUUUGCUAUCACUUAUAGAUGGACCCGCGCCGUAUUAGCUAGUUGGUAAGGUAACGGCUUACCAAGGCAACGAUACGUAGCCGACCUGAGAGGGUGAUCGGCCACACUGGAACUGAGACACGGUCCAGACUCCUACGGGAGGCAGCAGUAGGGAAUCUUCCGCAAUGGGCGAAAGCCUGACAGAGCAACGCCGCGUGAGUGAUGAAGGUCUUCGGAUCGUAAAACUCUGUUAUUAGGGAAGAACAAAUGUGUAAGUAACUGUGCACGUCUUGACGGUACCUAAUCAGAAAGCCACGGCUAACUACGUG
rnacentral:rRNA from 1 species